AACGAACGCUGGCGGCAGGCCUAACACAUGCAAGUCGAACGAAGCCUUCGGGUUUAGUGGCGGACGGGUGAGUAACGCGUGGGAACGUGCCCUUUGGUUCGGAAUAGCCCCGGGAAACUGGGCGUAAUACCGGAUAAGCUCUACGGAGGAAAGAUUUAUCGCCAAAGGAUCGGCCCGCGUCGGAUUAGGUAGUUGGUGGGGUAAUGGCCUACCAAGACGACGAUCCAUAGCUGGUUUGAGAGGAUGAUCAGCCACACUGGGACUGAGACACGGCCCAGACUCCUACGGGAGGCAGCAGUGGGGAAUCUUAGACAAUGGGGGAAACCCUGAUCUAGCAAUGCCGCGUGAUCGAUGAAGGCCUUAGGGUUGUAAAGAUCUUUCAGUGGGGAAGAUAAUGACUGUACCCACAGAAGAAGCCCCGGCUAACUUCGUGCCAGCCGCCGCAGUAAUAC
rnacentral:rRNA from 1 species